GACGAACCGUGCGAACGUUGUUCGGAAUCACUGGGCUUAAAGGGCGCGUAGGCGGCUUGCCAAGUCGGGGCUGAAAUCUUUCGGCUUAACCGGAAAAGUGGUUUCGAUACUGGCAGGCUCGAGCGAGGUAGGGGCAGAUGGAACUUCCGGUGGAGCGGUGAAAUGUGUUGAUAUCGGAAGGAACGCCGGUGGCGAAAGCGAUCUGCUGGACCUCUUCUGACGCUGAGGCGCGAAAGCCAGGGGAGCAAAC
rnacentral:rRNA from 1 species